rnacentral:rRNA from 1 species
UACGUAGGGUGCAAGCGUUGUCCGGAAUUAUUGGGCGUAAAGAGCUUGUAGGCGGUUUGUCGCGUCUGCUGUGAAAUUUCGGGGCUCAACCCCGAACUUGCAGUGGGUACGGGCAGACUAGAGUGUGGUAGGGGAGACUGGAAUUCCUGGUGUAGCGGUGAAAUGCGCAGAUAUCAGGAAGAACACCCGUGGCGAAGGCGGCUCUCUGGGACGGUACUGACGCUAAGGCGCGAAAGCGUGGGGAGCAAACAGG